rnacentral:rRNA from 1 species
GAUCCUAUUGAACCUAGUGAUGUAUGGAUUAGUGGCGGACGGGUGAGUAACGCGUGGAUAACCUGCCGUAUACAGGGGGAUAACACUUAGAAAUAGGUGCUAAUACCGCGUAAGCGCACGGUUCCGCAUGGAACAGUGUGAAAAACUCCGGUGGUAUACGAUGGAUCCGCGUCUGAUUAGCCAGUUGGCGGGGUAACGGCCCACCAAAGCGACGAUCAGUAGCCGGCCUGAGAGGGUGAACGGCCACAUUGGGACUGAGACACGGCCCAAACUCCUACGGGAGGCAGCAGUGGGGAAUAUUGCACAAUGGGGGAAACCCUGAUGCAGCGACGCCGCGUGAGUGAAGAAGUAUCUCGGUACGUAAAGCUCUAUCAGCAGGGAAGAAAAUGACGGUACCUGACUAAGAAGCCCCGGCUAACUACGUGCCAGCAGCCGCGGUAAUACGUAGGGGGCAAGCGUUAUCCGGAUUUACUGGGUGUAAAGGGAGCGUAGACGGCAGCGCAAGUCUGGAGUGAAAUGCCGGGGCUCAACCCCGGAACUGCUUUGGAAACUGUGCAGCUCGAGUGCAGGAGAGGUAAGCGGAAUUCCUAGUGUAGCGGUGAAAUGCGUAGAUAUUAGGAGGAACACCAGUGGCGAAGGCGGCUUACUGGACUGUAACUGACGUUGAGGCUCGAAAGCGUGGGGAGCAAACAGGAUUAGAUACCCUGGUAGUCCACGCCGUAAACGAUGAUUACUAGGUGUCGGGGGGCCAAGGCCCUCCGGUGCCGCCGCAAACGCAUUAA